rnacentral:rRNA from 1 species
GACGGAGGAUGCAAGCGUUAUCCGGAAUGAUUGGGCGUAAAGCGUCCGCAGGUGGCAGUUCAAGUCUGCUGUCAAAGACCGGGGCUUAACUUCGGAAAGGCAGUGGAAACUGAACAGCUAGAGUAUGGUAGGGGCAGAGGGAAUUCCUGGUGUAGCGGUGAAAUGCGUAGAGAUCAGGAAGAACACCCGUGGCGAAGGCGGCUCUCUGGAACGCAACUGACGGCUGAGACGCGAAAGCGUGGGGAGCAAACAGG